GGACUACUGGGGUUUCUAAUCCUGUUUGCUCCCCACGCUGUCGCGCCUCAGCGUCAGUCUUGGCCCAGCAGACCGCCUUCGCCACCGGUGUUCUUCCGGAUCUCUACGCAUUCCACCGCUACACCCGGAAUUCCAUCUGCCUCUACCAAACUCGAGCCCUGGAGUAUCGGUGGCCGACCCGCAGUUGAGCCACGGGCUUUCACCACCGACUGCCAGGGCCGCCUACGCGCCCUUUACGCCCAGUGAUUCCGGACAACGCUCGCACCCUCCGUAUUACCGCGGCUGCUGGCAC
rnacentral:rRNA from 1 species